ACAUGUGACAAGAGAGAACCUGGAAACUCCGCACCUCCGGCUCCCCACAGCUGGGGUUUUGCUGUCUUCAACCCUCGGGCGGGGGACGUCCGGCAGCUCUGCAAACGCGCAGACACGCGAACCCCAUCGCCUCGCGCGCCCUUUGGCUCCGCUGGUGCGUGUCGGGGAUGCGGCCGCGCAGGCGCUCGCUCCCUGGCUUCCUGGCCGGGUAGCGGGCGUUCGGCUACCGGAGUCCAGCCUAAGGGCCCAGCCGAGGUCUCCCCGCGCGAGGCGGUUGCGCUAGGUGAGCGGGUACCGCGGCCGCGCCUCCCUUGUCAUUUACUCAGCGGUCAGAGGCAUCCUGCGUCUGGGAGUCCCAAGUGCCUUCGGCUGGGUGCCCCUGUCCGAUCCUCAAAAGGAAAGCACAAAUCCCGGGUGCGAGUCUAACCCAGGACCGAACUUUCCCGCGAACCUGAAGUUACCAUGGGGCGGGAGCCACCUUAGCGCCGCGUCCGCCCGCCCCUCGCACCGGCUAGGAUGCUGCGGAAGGCAGGGGCGCCGAGAGGCAAGGGUGAAAGACGCCGUCCAUACCCCCAAAGCCCGAACCUGCAUCUCCUCUGCGAGGCGCAGGGCGGGAGGACCGCUGCAGUUGGGAGCCGGCUCCGGACAGGCAAAGCGACCCGACAGGUAACCUUCCACAGGCCCACACAUGUGUUAUCAGCCAUACCUUAGGACAGAAGGAAUGAGUUUGCAGAAAGGAUGCCCUACAACCAUACUGAGAAUUUAGCCCUGGGGACAUCUUCCGAUAUAAUCUGGCAUAGAAGAGUGGUUAUCACACCUUUAGCAUGGAUAGAAAUGCAAAACAAUAUUUGUAAUAGUCUGUGCUCACGCUGCUAUAAGGACAUACCCAAGACUAGGAAAGAGCCACAGAUUUGCUUCUUCCUAGCAAGGGCGUGAUACUAAUUCCAGAUCCAUCCAAAUAUUGUUCACUGCUUCUUAGACAGAGACCCCUUUCUCCCAGGACCCUUGAGACACCUUUGCUGUGAAUAAUGGAGAAGCAAAAGGAGUUACUAAUGAAGACAAACUAAACCUGAGAACAGAGAGAGCCUAACUAUGUGCUCCAGAAGUGCCAUGUGUGUCUAAGGCUGUACAGGAAGCAUGGCACCAACAUCUGCCCAGCUCCUAGGGAGGCCUCGGGGAGCUUUUACUCAUGGUGGAGGGUGAAGCAGGAGCAAGUACAUCAUACGGCGAAAGCAAGAGCAACCUCCUGGGUAUUAAAAUGAGCAAGACCAACAAGUCACUACUCUGAAGGAGCUUACAUUCUAGAAACCCUUAGAGAGCCUUCCUGCCUCCACUCCAUUUGCCUUGGACGUUGUCAUACAGACAGAAGAGAACUUGGGGUUCACCUGGAAAACCUUUGUACUGUUGCUCUCUUACAUUAUGAAGUGUGACAUUCAUGCAAUAUUUGACUCAACAUAAAAGCACUUGAAAAUAAUAUUAAACCAUCACACUGAGUUUUCUCUGAACCCACAACAACCCAAAUUCAUGAAGGGCACAUUCUUCCUUUUCCGGGCAAUGUGAAAGAUAAGCCUUCUUCAGAGUUGCCACCUGUGGGGUGUGGGAUGACCGGCCCCCUUCUUCCACCCUCAGACCACAAGCCUCAUUCUUGCCAUAAUGAAGAAGCUGAUUGAUGGAUGUCGCCUUUCCCACUGCAGACACUCUUAUCUUUCUCAGCUUAGCAGUAAUAGACAUGACCUGCUCCCUACCAGCUGGUCUCUGUGUGAGGGACCCGUCCAUCACUCUUUUUCCCUCUUCCAUCUGUUCUCCCCUCCUUCUCCAAAUUUCAGCCCAUAUGCCCACUGGCAGCAACCAAUAUGUCUGUCUGUCAGUAACUCUGUAAUGAGACCAAUUUAUAAGGUCACAUAAUCCUGACUCUUCAGGAAGAAAAAAAAUCCCCUAUCCUAUUUACUGAGAGAAAGUCACCUUCACCUCUAGUUCAAAUGGCUGUGGGAGGUCAUGUACUAACCACCAAAAAGUAAUUUAGAAUCAAUUUCAAAUGGUCUGUUUUCUACCAAAUUUAUUUAAAAAGAACCCGUUCCCCUGGGUUUUCUUUUAUUUGCCAAUGCUCUUAGCUAGAAUUUGCAAAAAUGAAAAUGUUGACCUUUAGGGAGGAAACUAAGGUCUAGAAACAAUUUAGAUUAUUAUGUCAAAUAGUGAACACUUUACUUCAUUCCAGUGGUAUUAUUAGCAUCACCCCCGCUACUUGCAUAAGCACAGGAUUUCCAUGGACCUGUCAGUAAGUGUUGCGUGUUUGUAUAACACGGCAGAAUUUUCCCCAGGAACAUUUUGUGUCUUUAGCUGACUAGCGCAAAUUAAAUUCUGUGUCAGUUUUGGCCAGAGGCUAAGAGUACCUUAUGACAUUUUACUGAAUUCAAUAACUGCAAUGAAAAUAUUUGUAAGCACAAUGCAACCAGUGAGUCCUAUUUUAUGAUAUAAGCUGUCAUGGGUAGUAUAUUUCUUUUCUACAAAGGGUGGUAACUUUUACUAUUCCAUUCGCUAGAGACUACAUUCAACAACUGUUAAUUAAUUAUAAUAUGUGUAUGUUGUCCUAUUUUUAACAGGAACAAAUGAAGACCAAACACCAAAAUGAAUUAAAAGCUUUCCAGGACAUCUAAAAUUUGAGGAUUGUUAGGUGUUUUUUUUUUUCUUUGUAGUAGUCAUUUAGAUACUCAUGCUGGCUGUUCAAAAAGCCCCUGCAAGAUAGUCUCCAGCUGCCUGGCAGUGAACCAUCCUCUUUAUCAAUGGAAAAAAGUCCUUUCCCUUGGGAUCCAGUUUUAAGUUACUGACAGUAUUAGCCCAUGAAUCCUCAGCCUGGUUUUGAAUUUAAGUCACUGCUCCAAUUCACAGUGACCUAAGGGUUGGUUCACUCUGCACUGGGAAUUAUACCUGCUCUCGGCACUGAUUUCGUGCCAGCUGUUUUCCUGUAUGUUAGCUUCUUAAAUAUUGUAAUGGAAUUUGAAUGACAUUUGAAUUUUACAUGUCUGGCCACUUAAAACCCUCAGGACUCCCAUGAACAGUUUGGAGUACAGAAAGCUGCCUUACAAUUGGAGGUUCUAUUUACAACUGGAGGCUUUUGAGCCUGAAGCUUGUGUGAACCAGACUGCACUCUGGAAUUUAUUGCUUAGUUUUGCGGGUUUGUUCAGAGUUGAUUUGCUGGCUACAAUCAUUUGCCCCACAUCCCACCCUCAACUUGCCACCCCUCCCAACCACCAAUCUAACCCUGAGUUAAAGGUAUGUGAGUAGAGGAGGCACUCAGUGAAAUGAAUGCCAAACCUUACUGUGCCUAAUAUUUUAAAUUUAAACUCAGCUUAUUAUGCUUUAUUUCUGUAUUCCUGACUUCUCAAACCACAACUUUCUACUGGUAGAAUUAUAGUUACUUCUUCAAUUUAUUCUAGUAUUAAUUGAAUUUUAGUCCUGGUAGUCUAUAAUUAAUUCUGGAAUUAAUAGAAUUAAGCUUAGUUCUACUACUAAAUGUUGAUUAUAAGGUUG
ensembl:lncRNA novel transcript